GACGAACGCUGGCGGCGUGCUUAACACAUGCAAGUCGUACGGUAAGGCCCUUUCGGGGGUCCACGAGUGGCGAACGGGUGAGUAACACGUGAGUAACCUGCCCACAACUUUGGGAUAACGCUAGGAAACUGGUGCUAAUACUGGAUAUGUGCUCCUGCUGCAUGGUGGGGGUUGGAAAGCUCCGGCGGUUGUGGAUGGACUCGCGGCCUAUCAGCUUGUUGGUGGGGUAGUGGCCUACCAAGGCGGCGACGGGUAGCCGGCCUGAGAGGGUGACCGGCCACAUUGGGACUGAGAUACGGCCCAGACUCCUACGGGAGGCAGCAGUGGGGAAUAUUGCACAAUGGGCGCAAGCCUGAUGCAGCAACGCCGCGUGCGGGAUGACGGCCUUCGGGUUGUAAACCGCUUUCAGCAGGGACGAAGCUUUUUGUGACGGUACCUGCAGAAGAAGCACCGGCUAUCUACGUG
rnacentral:rRNA from 1 species